rnacentral:SRP_RNA from 1 species
GCUGGGUGUGGUGAUGCACACCUGUAGUCUCAGCUACUUGGGAGGCUGAGGUAGGAGGAUCACUUGAGCCCAGGAGGUGGAGGUUGCAGUGAGCCAAGAUCAGGCCACUGCACUCCAGCCUGGGCAACAGAGUGAGACUCCGUCUCAA